AGCGAGAGCGAGAGCGAGCAAGCGAGUGCCUAGGGCAGAGGGGCAGGCUGCCAGGCCCCGGGACGGCCAGGGACCGAGCCUGUGCUAAAGAGCGAGUGGCGAACACGACCUGGCCGGCCGGGGAACUGGAAAGAGAGGACCCUGGGUCCCUGGCGUUGUUUCUUUCUCCAGCUCCUGGGCUCCUGGGUGUGCCUCAGCCUACCGCAUUCCCUCAAUUCCUUCGGCGGAGCUCAGGACCCCCACUUAGCGAAAAGGAAGAGUGAAGGUCGCCCCUUUGCCCCUCCCAGCCCCCGUCGCCCCAGCUCCCCCUUUCCCUCCCCAGAGCCAAGGGACAGACAGAGAAUUGCAACUAGAAAUUCGAUCGAUUGGUGCCAAAGACCACGUGCUCAGGGGCUGGCCAAUGACCAGGCCGCCCGGGAUGAGCUAAUAAUGGAAGCAAUUUGUAACUUUCAGUGGCUCUCUAGGCCUGAGUACCGCGGGGGAGAGGCGGGAGGAGGUGGGCACCCCCAGUCCUACCCUCAUUUGUCAAGGGGCGCUCGGAUCCCCUGGUGCUCCUUUCCCCUAACGUGCAGUCACCAGCAGCGUCCUUCGCCCACUCUGGUCGCCACCGCCCCAGAGCAAGCCCUACCCACCCAAGGAUGGGAGGAACAGAUCCACAGAGGAGUUACCUGACCAUGUCAUAAAACUAGAAGGAGGGCAGAGAGUGACCCAGCUGGACACCUACUUCCCAGUCAUCCCUUGCUACCAGGUGUGGGUAGCAGGGAAUGAGAGCCUGAGGACAUUGGUAAAUUCUUUGUAUUGUCCUUUUCAUGUGCUGCCCAGAUGGGCCUGGGCUGUUUGGCCAAGUGUUUAAGGAGAAAUCAAAGCAACAGCAUGAAAGGAACCUAAGUUCACAGUUGAUGACGUAAAGCAGAGUUGAUUAUAUCCAAGGUUGCUUCCUUCUAGAAUGUCCUGUGAGAAAUAA